rnacentral:tRNA from 1 species
AUCCCAGUAGCUCAGUAGUAGAGCGGUCAGCUAUUCACACUGAUUCGUCGUAGGUUCAAAUCCUACCUGGGAUC